CAGCAGCCGCGGUAACACGUAGGGUGCGAGCGUUGCUCGGAAUGACUGGGCGUAAAGGGCGCGUAGGCGGCUUGACAAGUCUUGUGUGAAAUCUAUGGGCUCAACCCAUAGUCUGCACGGGAAACUGUCGGGCUUGAGAAUGGGAGAGGUGAGUGGAAUUUCCGGUGUAGCGGUGAAAUGCGUAGAUAUCGGAAGGAACACCUGUGGCGAAAGCGGCUCACUGGACCAUUUCUGACGCUGAUGCACGAAAGCUAGGGGAGCAAACAGGAUUAGAUACCCGUGUAGUCCCUGUCUCUUAUAC
rnacentral:rRNA from 1 species